ACCUGUUUGCCUUGUUUUCCUGUCGGUACGUACCUAGCUUCUAGAAUUUUUUACUAAUUCUGGAAGCUGAGUACGUAUCUGCAGGAAGUCUAUUUACGUUUUUG
rnacentral:pre_miRNA from 1 species